rnacentral:rRNA from 1 species
AUGAUGAGCAGCAGGUGCUGCUGCUUAUCCCUGAGUCAGAUUGAGGAGGGAAAAGAAGCCAUGGCAGCGGCUGUGUUUCAGAUUUGGAGUGGCUCGGAUGCAAGUAUACCUGGCCAUGGGAUACCCGGCCCGGCUGGACCUGGCCAGAAAAAGCCCGGUCUUGCUUGCAGGCCAGGCCUGGGCCUGAAUGUUGAGGCCGAAGCACAUGUCGCCUGGGCUUGGCUUUUUUGUGUUUUAGGGAAGGGGCCCGGCCCGAGGCCCGGCAGGCUUUUUCACCGUAGAGACGGGCUUAGGCCUAAAAACUAG